UCCUAGUCUCUUGCCUCAGAUUGUAGGAUAAACACUUUAUGUUCCAUUCACUGAAUGUAGAGGACAUCUUUUCACUAAUCCCACCUAUCUUUUCAAUUUUUCCAGGAAGGUAGGUUGAGGGGAAAUCUGCUUUCAAAUUUUAAAGGCCUCAAGGUGUUAGGAGGAAAACAGCAUUUUCUCAUGGAAGUAGCAUCUCAGAUUCCAGAAAGCCAGUGUACACGCAGACUUCGGAGGCAGUAAACAGGAAACCAUCGAUCCCGUGCAGGAAAUGACCUUGUUUGAAGGCAACGAAGGUGUCGCGGAUUUCCCUCGUUUUCCUUCAGUUCCUUUCUAAACUCAUUUCCGUGUUUCAAUCAGUUUGGUCCUUCUCUACAUUAACAGAGUCCCCCCGGCCCAGAGAGAAUGGCAAACAGACCCUUCCCUUUAGUGGACAUUUUUAUGUCUUGUUUUACAUCACUGCAAAUCUCAGCCAAUCAGUAGUUGGGGUAGGAGGUACCAAAAUAAUCCUCACUUCCUCCCCCAAAUACCACCCCUCGCGUGCGUCAUCCUGUG
rnacentral:lncRNA from 1 species